rnacentral:rRNA from 1 species
CCUACGGGUGGCAGCAGUGGGGAAUCUUCCGCAAUGGGCGAAAGCCUGACGGAGCAACGCCGCGUGAUCGAAUGAAGGCCUUCGGGUUGUAAAGAUCUGUUGACAGGGACGAAUAAGCAAUGCGAAUAGUUUUGUGUAUGACGGUACCUGUUUAGAAAGCUCCGGCUAACUACGUGCCAGCAGCCGCGGUAAUACGUAGGGAGCAAGCGUUGUCCGGAAUUACUGGGCGUAAAGCGCUCGUAGGCGGUAUGUCAAGUCAAGGGUGAAAUCCCCGCGCUCAACGUGGGAACUGCCUUUGAAACUGGCAAACUGGAGUGUGUGAGAGGAUAGUGGAAUUCCAGGUGUAGGAGUGAAAUCCGUAGAUAUCUGGAGGAACAUCAGUGGCGAAGGCGACUAUCUGGCACAUAACUGACGCUGAGGCACGAAAGUGCGGGGAUCGAACAGGAUUAGAUACCCGUGUAGUC